GAUGAACGCUGGCGGCGUGCUUAACACAUGCAAGUCGAACGGAGUUUACAUGUGAGCGGAGGGUGCUUGCAUCUAACAAUCUUUUGUAAACUUAGUGGCGGACGGGUGAGUAACGCGUGGGUAACCUGCCGUAUGCAGGGGGACAACAGCUGGAAACGGCUGCUAAUACCGCAUAAGCGCACAGUACUGCAUGGUACAGUGUGAAAAGUUCUGGCGGCAUACGAUGGACCCGCGUCUGAUUAGCUAGUUGGUGGGGUAACGGCUCACCAAGGCAACGAUCAGUAGCCGGCCUGAGAGGGUGAACGGCCACAUUGGGACUGAGACACGGCCCAAAACUCCUACGGGGAGCAGCAGUGGGGAAUAUUGCACAAUGGGGGAAACCCUGAUGCAGCGACGCCGCGUGAGCGAUGAAGUAUUUCGGUAUGUAAAGCUCGUAUCAGCAGGGAAGAAAAUGACGGUACCUGACUAAGAAG
rnacentral:rRNA from 1 species